rnacentral:lncRNA from 1 species
UCUUUUACCUUCUCUUGUCUAAAAGAAGUUAGCCGUCUGUGUACACAUCCACUUUUCCAUCCUGACCUUGUCGUUUCAUAAUCCCACUGAUGGUGCUCUUCAUCAUUUUUUGCAGUCUCCUCUUUACAAUCCAAGCUCUAGCAAUUUGUUGUAUUUAAUGGUGUGACUGGAAUAGGAAGUCCAAGUUCAGGUACCUUCUGUGUAGGAAAAAGUUCUUGAUAUCUUAAAGAUGUUUUUCCUUCAUCUCAUAAACUUUUUUAUUACUACUGUGCAUCUUCUGAGUGCUGCUUUGCUUUUUAUUUUUCCACGCUCUCUAUCACCAAGAUGGAGAGUUGAAUGUUCCCCUCCCCACAGCCUGUCUGUUGCUGUGAGGUUCAGGAUCGAAUCACAUCCAGAGAGGCUCAGCUUGAGUAGAAAUCAAGUCUUCUUUUCAGUCUUGACCUACGUCUGACACUGAGGGGAGCUACGUGUGCUGUGAAGUCUCAGUGCAGAGAUGGAAGCAUCCUUGUGCUCAUCCCAUGCAGAUCUGUGACUACUCUUCUUUGUGCCCAGAAAACAAGGUGGCAGAAUCAAGCCAACAGCAGGGCUCCAGCAGCAACUUGGCAACUGGCCGCCGGUCGUCCUUGGUUCAAACUGCCCUUUUUCUCUUGGGAAUCUACCGCCAACCUCACUUUCAAAGUAAAUCGUGCCUGAGACUCCAACCAUCUGUACUGGUGACCCAGGAACCAGCUGCUGUCCCUGGAAGCGAAGUGCAGCUCGUCCCAGGAGCAGGUUCUGUGCAGCCGCCGUUCGCUGCGCUUUGGGGGACGGUUUGUGCUCCUGCUGUGUGCGGGCAGGGCGCUAAGCUGCAAGUCACUGCUUUCCCCGGGGAGGUAAUUGGGACGGUUCCUUAAUGGCAUUAGUGCACGUUGCCUCUUCUGCCACCAGAUAGCUGGGGCCGGACCCCUUAUGCUGCCGAUGUGCCGGAACAAUGCGGGCGUGUAGUAAGGAAGCGAACUAGAAGUAAUUUGUCUGAGUCAGACUUUUGGAUACAUAAGUGACACUCCCUGCCCUCCCCCAGCGCAUUGUGUAAGGAAUUGAGUCCCCUGUUUGUGUUCCUUUUUAUUAGCAUUAAAACCAAAAGGAAUAAAGAGACAGUUGGGAAGCCA